UACGUAGGGGGCAAGCGUUGUCCGGAUUUAUUGGGCGUAAAGAGCUCGUAGGCGGUUCCGUAAGUCGUGAAGUCAAAUCUCUGGGCUCAACCCAGAAUCGCUUCCGAUACUGCGGUGACUGGAGUCCGGUAGGGGAGUGUGGAAUUCCUGGUGUAGCGGUGAAAUGCGCAGAUAUCAGGAGGAACACCAACAGCGAAGGCAGCACAUCUGGGCCGGUACUGACGCUGAGGAGCGAAAGCAUGGGGAGCGAACAGG
rnacentral:rRNA from 1 species